rnacentral:rRNA from 1 species
CCUCUUGCCAUCAGAUGUGCCCAGAUGGGAUUAGCUAGUAGGUGGGGUAACGGCUCACCUAGGCGACGAUCCCUAGCUGGUCUGAGAGGAUGACCAGCCACACUGGAACUGAGACACGGUCCAGACUCCUACGGGAGGCAGCAUG